ACUGGGCAUGGUGGUGUGCACCGGUAGUCCCAGCUACUUGGGAGGCUGACGCAGGAGGAUUGCCUUAGUCCAGGAGCUCUCAGCUGUAGCACACUAUGCCGAUCAGGUGUUCACACUAAGUUACACAUCAAUAUGGCAACUUCCCAGGAGCAGGGGACCACCAGGUUGCCAAAGGAGGGGUGAAUCAGCCCAGGUCAGAACGGAGGUCAAAACUCCCAUGCUUAGGCCAGACACAGUAGCUCACACCUGUAAUCCCAGCACUUUAGGAGGUCGAGGAGGGCAGAUCACCUGAGGCCAGGAGUUCAAGACCAGCCUGGUCAACAUGGCAAAACCCCAUCUCU
rnacentral:sRNA from 1 species